GAUGAACGCUGACAGAAUGCUUAACACAUGCAAGUCGAUGGGGAAGUGGUGCUUGCACCAUGGUAACCAUGGCGGACGGGUGAGUAACGCGUAAGGAACUUGCCUGCGGGACUGGGAUAACAGCAGGAAACUGCUGAUAAUACCGGAUAAGGUCAUUAAGCUGCAUAGCUUAGUGAUGAAAGGAGACGCCUGCGGAGAGCCUUGCGUCCUAUUAGCUAGUUGGAGGGGUAACGGCCCACCAAGGCGAAGAUAGGUAGCCGGCCUGAGAGGGUGGACGGCCACAAGGGGACUGAGAUACGGCCCCUACUCCUACGGGAGGCAGCAGUGGGGAAUAUUGGACAAUGGGGGCAACCCUGAUCCAGCAAUUCUGUGUGCACGAAGACGGUUUUCGGAUUGUAAAGUGCUUUCAGCAGGGAAGAAGGAAGUGACGGUACCUGCAGAAGAAGCGACGGCUAAAUACGUGCCAGCAGCCGCGGUAAUACGUAUGUCGCGAGCGUUAUCCGGAAUUAUUGGGCAUAAAGGGCAUCUAGGCGGCCUUUCAAGUCAGGGGUGAAAACCUGCGGCUCAACCGCAGGCCUGCCUUUGAAACUGAUAGGCUGGAGUACCGGAGAGGUGGACGGAACUGCACGAGUAGAGGUGAAAUUCGUAGAUAUGUGCAGGAAUGCCGAUGAUGAAGAUAGUUCACUGGACGGUAACUGACGCUGAAGUGCGAAAGCCGGGGGAGCGAACAGG
rnacentral:rRNA from 1 species